rnacentral:lncRNA from 1 species
CAACACAUCCCUUCUCCCAAGUUUUUGUUUUUGUUUUGAAGUCAUAGAUUAGAUCAUAAAAGGUUUGGUAAUCAGGAACUCAGAGUUUGAGCUGAAAUUUAAAUUUACAAGUCUAAUAUAGACUAUAUAGGACAUAAAGAGGAGUGAGAAAUAAAGUUUUGUUUAGGAAAUGGUGGUUUGGAGGAAGAUUGGUUUGUGUGAGACUGAGAGAUUGUCAAUGUUUCUUAAAAGUCCAUUCAGAAUUAUUUAUGUAAAGAGUUCUUUGUAAAUAUGCAGUUGAUGCCUUUCAUGGAUGAUAAAGCGAGGAAGUUGCUUUGCUGAUGCAACAGGGAGGAAUUUGGGAGGAUUAUUUGAAGUGGAUAGGAUUAUUUAGUCCUACAAAUUUAGAGAACUGUAUUGGAUAACGCAAGUGCAAAGUUUUUCUUUUGUUAUUUUAUGUUUCCAGUUAAAAACCUGUAAUCUUUUUUAGUACAUCCCCACACCUCAAUCCUCACUGAAACCACCAAAUCAAACCCAAGCUGCCCC